rnacentral:lncRNA from 1 species
UUGCAAGGAGAGGAAGGAUCCUUGAGGCAGCUGCAAAAUUCUUCUUCAUCUGUCGGAAAAGGUGUUGGAAGGGGGUGGUCUGGCUUGAUGCCUACCUGAACAAGCUUUUUGUUAUUAGUAUAUAAAGGCAACAAGUCAUAACAACCAUAAUUUUUAGUAAUGAUAAAAACCGUUUUCUUUUUCUUUUUUUCUUGCUAAUAAGUACUUAUCAUCAUACAUCUUCAAACAUAUGAAAUAGGAAUUUUUGAAAUGAAGUUAAAAAAAAAAUAAUAGUAAAAAUUACGUAAAUAUGAAAACCACUUGUGCAAAUAUAUAAAUUGGAAAGCCAAGUUAUCUCUGGGUGUGUCCGGUACAACAUUAACUGACGCCCAUGAAAGAAAUAAAUUUAGUGGACAGGUAAAGAAGAACAACUCUAUAAAGCCAGUGAAAACAUAACAUCAUUAACUAAUAUCAACUUUGCUCUCCUACCAUCAGAUUACACUAAUAUUCAAUAAACAGUAUGUCACAAUACUGUCAUUCUAUUGCUUCCCCUUCAGAACACGGUUUACUUGGUUUACUAGGUUUACAGUACAUUACAAUAUUGUCAAGUCUGUAUGAGUUAGAUCAGGUCAAUUUGAAUCAAACUUACACAAGCAACACAUCAAGAAAUUGUUUUUCCGAAGAAAAUUAAUUACUUAAGAACUAUGCUAGACAUGAGGCCUUUCCAGGUUUGGUUCAGGCUAGGUUCGCUCCAGAUAAGAAGCCCAAAACCUGCACUGGUUGCCAUCCAGUUCUAAUUCCUUGAACAUAGUGCGGAUUAGUGUACGCUAAAGCAAUAUCUUGAUCAUGAGUGUGCUAAGCAAAAGCAAUCAUGAGUGGAUUGGUAAGAAAAUCAAGGUAGGGGAAUCAGAAUGGGGUGUAGUCCAAGCUUUACAAUGCAGAUUAGUGUACAUUAAAGACAAAUAUCAGGAUACAUGCAAGUUACAAGGCAGGAUGGAUGCUAAUCUUCCAGACAAGCACUCCUACAAGUGAAUUGAAGAAUAUUUUUUAUCAUGGGAUACAAAAACAAAAUAAACCACAUAAUUCUUAUUUCUCUCAGCUGAUCCCUUCUUUUUAACAAAUUUGGAUCCUUUUAGAAAUUGUCAACAGACGAAGGCUGCUUGAUAGAGACUUUCCUACUCUAUUUGGUUUUCUAAUUCCACUGUAACUCAACGCUUAGAAAUUAUGACAAAUAUCCAUGCAAAUGCCAAAAAGGUAUAAUUAAACUCAAAUUAGAUCCAAUUUAGACAAUACUAAGUUAUAUCACUAGGUGAACACCCAUUUGAUAUUUAAGGCUGACAAGCAAUCAAGUAUUUCAUCCCUCCCACUUGAAAAGAAAACAAAAACAAAAAAAAGAAGAGGUGGAUGGGCAUACAGCAGAAUACCAACCUUGUCAAUAUUAGUGUGAGCAGGGGUUUCAUACCGAGCCACUGUAACAGCUAAUCCAGAGCCAUCAGAAAGCUCAAAAACUGACUGUAUUUUUCUGCACAAGCACAUAAAGUAAGUUGGAAAGAAUCACUUUUAAUUCUUGCACUCAUUCAAGUAAUUACCCUUUUCCAAAAGUAGGUUCCCCAUAUAAUACUGCCCUUCUAUUGUCCUUUAGUGCUCCAGCUAAUAUUUCACUUGCGCUUGCAGUUCCUUUGUUCACCUAACAUAUUCAGUAAAGAAGACAGCACACUUAUCGACAGAAAAGAAAAUUUUAACAAAUCCUCCAUUUCCAAUAAAGC